rnacentral:tRNA from 1 species
ACUUCUUUAGUAUAUUAGUAUAGGUGACCUCCACUCACCUGGUCUUAGAUACAUGCUAAGAAGAAGUA